AAACUUGAUGUUAACUAAUGCAACGGAAAAAAAAAACAUUACUCAUGUCAUUUUGGAAAUCUAGUCGCCUUGUUGAUUUGCUCUUUUUUUUUUCAAAAAUAGUUUUUUUACAAUGCAGUGGAUGUUAGGUAACAAUGUUAAAUUUUACUUAAGCCAGAUAUCAUGCAUUUUUUGGUUAUUAUGUUUAAGUAAUCCAAGCAUGCAAAAAUUCCCAAAUGAAAAGUUACCAACCCACAGACUAGAAAUAAUUAAAAAUUGCAAACUAAAACAAAUAGAGACUUAUUAAUAAUACUUAUUAAAAAAGGUCCAAGGCCCAAGGUGAUACUCUGUAUGUUGGGUCCGGUCCUAGUUUCAAGGUUUACCUAAAAAGUUAAACACUAUGGGGGAGUGAGCUUAUGAAAGCUCAAUGUGAGUCGAACAAUUUUUUAAACAAACAUAAAUAUCAAAUACAGUGAGAUAUCUUAACAUUAAUAGAAGAACACAAAACAAUCAUUGGAAUUUCAUAUCAUUACAUAGCUAUUAAAAAAUUGAUGUCAAACGGUGUAGGAGCAUGGGGUGAUGCAGAUGAUGCAAUGUAAAAGUUCCUACCCAAACCAUCUGAGUGUUACACACCACAAGUUCCCCAAAACCUAUCUACCAAAAUCCAACGAGUGUGAGUAAAGCUCGAUGUAGUAAAACCAUUGAAUGAAUAUAAUUGCAAAAAAUCUACCAAAUAACGAAUAAAUGCGAUAAAAUUGCCAAAUCCCCUCGAAUCUUUGGUGCAGCGCACUGACUACGAAUAAAUACAAACUUAAUAUGCCGCCAAAUCUCUAUGGAACUCCUCCGUCAACCACAAUAAUAACCCACCCCAAUGCACAUGCAAUAUGCCAUACAAUCUCAUACAUAGUCAUAAAUAAAUACUUUCACAAUUUAUUGGCAUGUACAAUAUGUCCUUGAAUUAUCAAAUACUUUUAGUGAAUAGGACCAUUGAUCCAACUUUCAAUUUACCAUCAACGUGGUAUCAUUUAACAAAUCACAAUUUCAUGUAGCAAUCUUUCAAACAUUACAUAACAAAUUACUCAUGCCAAUCUAUCAUGCAUAAGCCUUAUUUUCAUUGAAAAUAAUGAUAUACAAACAACCAAUCAUACAUCACAUUAACUAACCAUUCAUAACAAUAUCAACCAUGCAAUCAUUUAAUCAAUUUAGCAACUUUGCUAACAUGCCAAAUAAUUAGGCUUGAAACAUGCCAAAUAAUUAGGCUUGAAACAUACCUGGUUCGACCACUUACAAGUUUAAUUACUUAGAUACUUAGCCAAGACCAAUUACCAAAAUAAAUCAUCAAUUAUAUCAAUAACUUCAUCAUUAUCAAUCAAGUAAUUGAGUUGGGACCCACACCUUAUUUUACGCUCUUUCACAGCACACUUGUAAAUAUUGUGGUUUCUCUAAUAAGCUUUAAAAUUAAUCUAAAUUAAGAAUCAGUAUUAAACUCAAUUAAUAUGCCUAUUAAACAUCCCAUAAACACCCACUUAUGGAUUCAAUCCAAUCAGUACAAUUAUAACUAUUUUUUGAAUCCAAACUAGUUAGAUUUCUUACAUUGAAUUGAUAUGAACCGUACACGCGAACGUCUUUUGGCUUCAUUGUUGAUUUGGGGCAUUUAAGUCGACACCUAGCACAUUUAAAAAUUGUAAAUUGUUAUUUAAUCAAUUAACAAUAUUUAUCGAAUAUCUAAACUGAAACUAUAAACUAGUUUACAAUCAACCACACAUACGCUUCCCGAAUUGUCAUAUCUGAAUUGCCGAUUGAUCAAGAUUAAAUUUCCCUAAUUAAAACAUAAUUAAAUGCUAAUUGGAGGGGGUUCAAGAUCCCAAAAUAAUGCUGGAAAAAAAUGGGAAGAAAUUAAAGGAGAACAACCCCUUUUCUUGCCUAUAGGCAUAUGUAUCACCACCAAUGAUGGCCAAAUUAGGGCUGAGUUGAAAUCAAUUUUAAGAUCACUUAGGAGGCUGGAAAAAAUACCCACUAAAUAUUAAAAAAAAACUGAAAUUCCAGAUCUGAAAAUUUGGGUUUUGAACCCUCAAGAUUUAUCAAGAAAUUGAGAAAUAAGGAGAACUUACACAAACUAGUUGAUAGGGGCGGCAAUGACACUUCUUAGAAACAAGGAGAAUCAUUCUUGGAGAUCCAAAAUUUCAGAUUUGGGGCUAGAAAAUUAAGGGGAAAAUGGCAUUAAGAUGGAGGGGGAGAUGGUGCAAGAUCUUUUGAAAAAAGAAAAGAAAAGAAAAGAAAAAGAAAAAGAUGGUAGAUCAAGAACUGUGGGUGGCAGCCAUAAAUAAGAAAUGAAAAAAAUUAAAAGAGAAGAGGAGAGGAGAGGGACGGCUAGGGUGGGGGAAAUUGGACUAAAGGCUGAUUAUUUUGUCUAAAAAUAAUAUUUGUACUUAGGUCUAAAAGGUAUGGACGACACACACAUUAAAAAUACAAGGGAUUUUUGCAAGGGAAAAGAUUCAAAC
rnacentral:lncRNA from 1 species